GUUCAACAUUCGAACGCCAUCUUCUCUUAAAAACCUGGAUUGACGAUUUCGUUGAUGUCCGGUGUUGGUUCACGUAUACAUUUCUGCAUCGCUUGUACCUAUUCCAGUCACUAACCAUUUUUGUGCUCUUAAACUUCCGGUUCGUAAGAAGAAUCUCAUGCAUCUCUCCUUAGAGUUCCGCCUCCAACUUUUCCGGGUUUUGCUAUGUCCGGAAAGAUGCAUGCUAGUUUCCCGGGGUUGAUUCCAAUUGUUUCCAGGAUCGGAAAUCUUCAGCUGCAUGCACUUAUUUUUGAUUACGUCACGGGACAGAUUAAAAUCAAACAAAGAAGCUACAAAAUUUAAUGCUCUGUGUAGUCCAGUCAACGCGCUAUGCAUACCAUAGUUCGUUCGGCGAACAGGAACACGCAAGAACGGAGUGUUACGCAGCGUUCGAAGCGGAGCCAUCAUGUCUAGUCCUCGAAGAAUGGCUGAGCACUGCAAUUGAGAAGUCAAAGCGUGGGAGAUCACGAGUGCACGGCUAACAUUUCUACGCACUGCUAAGGUGUCAAGGUUGAUCAGCUUACAGCGGCUUUUGUAACUAGGCAGAUGAAAUGGAUCCCGCCAGGGGAGUCGACGGAGCGCGAACCGGAUGAAUCUUCGCUGCACACUCUCAAUCCGCACCGCACUGUUCUCGUAGUAGGGACUCCAUACGGCACAACAGUACUCCAGCGUUGAACGGACCAAAGCGCAGUACAGAGCCUUCAAACAGUAGACAUCUGUAAAACCUUUUGCUGCACGGAAUAUGAAGCCGAGCUGUCGCGAGGCUUUGGAAAUCAUGAAUGAGAUGUGCGGCUUGUAUACGAGUUCCGUGUCAAGACGCACGCCGAGGUCCUUGACACAGUUCUUCCGGGGGAUUAAUGUGCCGCAGAUCUGGUAGUCAAACUUGAUUGGGUUGCGUUUCUUGGAGAAAGUAAUGACAGAGCACUUGAUGGGGUUGACGACCAUGCGGUUUUUUCACACCAGUCCGCGAAGAUGUUCAGUUCAUGUUGGAGGGCUUGAGCGUCGGCUGCAUUAUUCACUUGAAGUAGAUCUUCAUGUCGUCUGCGUAGGACAGACGCAGCCCAGAGAGGCAGUCGUUGUAGUAUAGCAGGAAGACAAGUGGCCCGAGAUGACUUCCCUGUGCGAUACCCGAAAAGGCCCUCGAGGCAGCAGUCUCCAAUCUUGACGUUGAUUUUGCGGUCGGCCAGAUAGGACUGGAACCAACGAAGGAGAGUCCCACCGAUUCCCAUCCUUUCCAGUUUUGCGAUCGCAAUGGCGUGGUUCAGCUUGUCGAACGCUGCCGACAGGUCGGUGUCGGAGCCAUGACUGCUAGCUCGAAAAGUUUCGAAACGGCGCACAGUGUUGAUAUCCCACGAUAGUUGUCAACGUUCCGUUUAUCGCCUUUCUUGUGUACCGGAAACAUGGAUACGUGCUUCCAGAGCUUCGGAAAUGAUCCACUAGAGAGGGAUAGAUUGAAGAGGAGAUGUAGAGGCUCCAGGAUCCUGUCGAUGCAUUUUUCCAGGACAAUCGAUGGGACUCCGUCCGGGCUUGUCUUGUUGGACAAUUUGAGCUUGGCAACGGGGAGGGACAUUGCUGGCGGCGGCGGUGACUUGUUCUGGUUGCAGAUCUUCUAACGUGAACACGCUCGAAAAUUUCGCGCUGAAUAGCUGGCAGAUCUCCUCCGUAUUCGAUGCUGUCUCCUCUCCUAGGAACGUGGAUGACGGUAACCCGAUUUCUUUCCGCUGCUCGUUGAUGUACUGCCAGAAUCCUUUCGGGUUGGACUUGAGUUUCUUCUGGGUACGUACCUUGUGAUCGGCGUGACACUGUCUGCUCAUCCUUUUGUAGCAGCUGUUGAGUCGCACGUAAUAGUUAUGCAAAGGUAACGUCCGAUGUUUAGAGAAUUAUUUCAGUGCCGACCUUUUUGCCGCCUUGACUCUCCUAAGCUCGCUGGUUUGCCAUGGAACACGAGCAUUCGUAACAGGUUUCUUCGGUACGUGCCUGUCGAUGACGUAGCUCAGAAUGUUAGUGAAGGUCUGUACGGCCUCGUCGAGAUUGUCCUUGUCAAGUGUGUUCUCCCAGUCAAUGCUUUGCAAAAACGAAUUUGGGAUGUCAUCAAUAACCUGCUUAGAAAAAAAAAGACCAAUGCACGCAGUGUAUACGAUCUACAUGAGAUAAUAAAUGAUGCUGGCUUUAUUCACUUUUCUCCUUUCUCUCGCUUUUCUGUUUUUCAACCGAUUUUUACUCUCUCUGUUAUUUGUAACUGGUUUCUUCAAAAUUAUUUAAACCACAAUCGUGUGUGCUCUCACGCGCAUAAAUUUGUCUGUAACCUCUGUUUAAACGAUUUUUUUGUUACUUUCUUUCUGGCUGAGGAAUAAAGACAAACACAAACGAAAAGAUGUACACAAUCGGCUUCUCUAGCUCCGGUGAAUUUCCGCGCAAAAUGAUUCAUGUAUUCCAAGUAAGAUUUUCACACAACAAACAAACAUUCAAACACGCAUACACUUUUGUUACCUUCAGAUUUUUUGUUUUGUUUUCAACAUAAGAGCAAACUUUCUCUCUCUCUCGGCUUGUUUUGUUUUGUUUCUACACAGCACGCGCGCUCUUACACGAUGUAUUUUCGCUACUUUAGUAUGCAAUUCUUAUCCCUUAUAAAUUAUUAGUGCUUACUACGCUCUCUGUUUGCUUUUCUCGCUCUCUCUCUCUCUCUUUCUCUGUUCAUUUGCUGUCUAUUUUGUUUGCUUUUUUCCGUAUCAUUCUAUCGAUUCGCAUUAUUUUGUUGUUUCUUUGCUGCUGUUGCUCCAUACGGGUGUGUUUUUCUCUACGAAUAAGUUUUUUUUUGUUUAAUCCACAAUCAGCUUAAAAUCCUUGCUCACGCUCUCUCGCUAUCGCUCUCUCCACCGACUUACUUCCCUUUUUCUUUUUUGUCAAUCCAACCAACCCUUAAGUCCGCUGUCCGCACGACUCGCACGAAACUAAAAUUCGACAAACGAAACGAAGAUAGAGUUAACAUCACUUUCUAUACAACACCGCCAACCUAACCACAAAAUCUCUGUUUUUUUUCUGCUGCUCGUACCUAAAUCCUAACCACACGCGCUGCUGCAAAGUGUUUUACAAAAAAAAAA